AGUGAACGCUGGCGGUAGGCCUAACACAUGCAAGUCGAACGGCAGCACAGGAAAGCUUGCUCUCUGGGUGGCGAGUGGCGGACGGGUGAGGAAUACAUCGGAAUCUACUUUUUCGUGGGGGAUAACGUAGGGAAACUUACGCUAAUACCGCAUACGACCUACGGGUGAAAGCAGGGGAUCUUCGGACCUUGCGCGAUUGAAUGAGCCGAUGUCGGAUUAGCGAGUUGGCGGGGUAAAGGCCCACCAAGGCGACGAUCCGUAGCUGGUCUGAGAGGAUGAUCAGCCACACUGGAACUGAGACACGGUCCAGACUCCUACGGGAGGCAGCAGUGGGGAAUAUUGGACAAUGGGCGCAAGCCUGAUCCAGCCAUACCGCGUGGGUGAAGAAGGCCUUCGGGUUGUAAAGCCCUUUUGUUGGGAAAGAAAUCCAGCUGGUUAAUACCCGGUUGGGAUGACGGUACCCAAAGAAUAAGCACCGGCUAACUUCGUGCCAGCAGCCGCAGUAACAC
rnacentral:rRNA from 1 species